UAGCAGAGGGUGCGAGCGUUAAUCGGAAUUACUGGGCGUAAAGCGCGCGUAGGCGGCUUUGCAAGUCGGGUGUGAAAUCCCCAGGCUUAACCUGGGAACUGCAUUCGAGACUGCAUUGCUAGAGUAUGGGAGAGGGAAGUGGAAUUUCAGGUGUAGCGGUGAAAUGCGUAGAUAUCUGAAGGAACAUCAGUGGCGAAAGCGACUUCCUGGACCAAUACUGACGCUCAUGUGCGAAAGCGUGGGGAGCAAACAGG
rnacentral:rRNA from 1 species